UACGUAGGGGGCAAGCGUUAUCCGGAUUUACUGGGUGUAAAGGGAGCGCAGACGGAAGCGGAAGUCAGAUGUGGAAGCGCGGGGCAUAACCCCGGGAGUGCAUUUGAAACUCUGCAUCUAGAGUACUGGAGGGGUGAGCGGAAUUCCUGGUGUAGCGGUGAAAUGCGUAGAUAUCAGGAAGAACACCGGCGGCGAAGGCGGCUCACUGGACAGCAACUGACGUUGAGGCUCGAAAGCGUGGGGAG
rnacentral:rRNA from 1 species